GACGAACGCUGGCGGCGUGCUUAACACAUGCAAGUCGAACGGAAAGGCCCUGCUUUUGUGGGGUGCUCGAGUGGCGAACGGGUGAGUAACACGUGAGUAACCUGCCCUUGACUUUGGGAUAACUUCAGGAAACUGGGGCUAAUACCGGAUAGGAGCUCCUGCUGCAUGGUGGGGGUUGGAAAGUUUCGGCGGUUGGGGAUGGACUCGCGGCUUAUCAGCUUGUUGGUGGGGUAGUGGCUUACCAAGGCUUUGACGGGUAGCCGGCCUGGGAGGGUGACCGGCCACAUUGGGACUGAGAUACGGCCCAGACUCCUACGGGAGGCAGCAGUGGGGAAUAUUGGACAAUGGGCGGAAGCCUGAUGGAGCAAAGCCGCGGGCGGGAUGACGGCCUUCGGGUUGGAAACCGCUUUCGCCUGUGACGAAGCGGGAGUGGCGGUAAUGGGUAAAGAAGCACCGGCUAACUACGUGC
rnacentral:rRNA from 1 species